GUGUCAGCCGCCGCGGUAAUACGAAGGGGGCUAGCGUUGUUCGGAUUUACUGGGCGUAAAGCGCACGUAGGCGGAUUGUUAAGUUAGGGGUGAAAUCCUGGAGCUCAACUCCAGAACUGCCUCUAAUACUGGCAAUCUAGAGUCCGGAAGAGGUGAGUGGAACUCCUAGUGUAGAGGUGGAAUUCGUAGAUAUUAGGAAGAACACCAGUGGCGAAGGCGGCUCACUGGUCCGGUACUGACGCUGAGGUGCGAAAGCGUGGGGAGCAAACAGGAUUAGAAACCCCAGUAGUCC
rnacentral:rRNA from 1 species